rnacentral:rRNA from 1 species
GAUGAACGCUGGCGGCGUGCCUAAUACAUGCAAGUCGAGCGAACAGAUGAGGAGCUUGCUCCUCUGACGUUAGCGGCGGACGGGUGAGUAACACGUGGAUAACCUACCUAUAAGACUGGGAUAACUUCGGGAAACCGGAGCUAAUACCGGAUAAUAUAUUGAACCGCAUGGUUCAAUAGUGAAAGGCGGUUUUGCUGUCACUUAUAGAUGGAUCCGCGCCGCAUUAGCUAGUUGGUAAGGUAACGGCUUACCAAGGCAACGAUGCGUAGCCGACCUGAGAGGGUGAUCGGCCACACUGGAACUGAGACACGGUCCAGACUCCUACGGGAGGCAGCAGUAGGGAAUCUUCCGCAAUGGGCGAAAGCCUGACGGAGCAACGCCGCGUGAGUGAUGAAGGUCUUCGGAUCGUAAAACUCUGUUAUUAGGGAAGAACAAAUGUGUAAGUAACUAUGCAUGUCUUGACGGUACCUAAUCAGAAAGCCACGGCUAACUACGUG